GGAGAUGGGAGCGCCUAGGGACCCGAACCGAGUGCACCUGCUGCAGCCUGGCACUAGGGAUUUGAAAAUCCAUGGAGAUGGAAACCUAUGCCGAGGUUAGAAGACCUGGAUCCACUUUGCAGGAUUUUAAAUAUCCUUCAAGCCUCAGUGCCUGGCAGACUGGACUUUGGACUUCGGACUUCCAGCUCCGAUGCUGAAAAAGGAGGGUUUUUUUGUUUGUUUGUUUUUCCACUUUGCUUCCUUGCUUGUCGAGGCUGAGAACAUACGGUGUUUUUGAGGGCCACCAUCAAAGGGUACUCGCUUCUCCAAACCUUGGAACCCGAGGUCUAGCCUUGGAAAGAGUUGCCGCCUUACCAUCUCUCCUCGCCUAGGGAAGCCCCAGCUGUGUGCGCUACUGCAGGGUCACAGUGCCGCGGUGCCGAGCUUCUUUCGUGGUCCCUGUCGCCGUCCGUUUCUUGAGAUUUCAGACUCUGGGCUUGGAAACCAGUUGACUGCCUUUCUUAGCGAGGUGCCCUCGGAAACCUGUGGAGGAAUGUUUGGAUUAUGAAUGCUCACCGUGCCGAGGUUUUGAGACUACUGUAAGACAGAUGAGAAAACCUGAGUCCUCGAAGCUAUGUGACAGAGGUGGAGCACCUGGAAUGCAUAGAGAACCAGGUUCCCUUUGGAAAAUAUUCACUCGCUUCCACCAGCCCAAACCCGAAGGUACCAUCAGUACGUGAGGCCUACAACAGGGUUCUCUGUUUUCCUGUAGCCAGCCUCUCUGAUGCUCCCAACAAUGUAUUUGAAAAGCA
rnacentral:lncRNA from 1 species